rnacentral:rRNA from 1 species
UACGGAAGGUGCGAGCGUUGUCCGGAAUCAUUGGGCGUAAAGGGCGCGUAGGUGGCCCAGUAAGCGUGCGGUGAAAGCUCGGGGCUCAACCCCGAGUCGGCCGUGCGAACUACUGGGCUGGAGCACUGUAGAGGCAGGCGGAAUUCCGGGUGUAGCGGUGGAAUGCGUAGAGAUCCGGAAGAACACCGGUGGCGAAGGCGGCCUGCUGGGCAGUUGCUGACACUGAGGCGCGACAGCGUGGGGAGCAACAGG